AGCAGUGAGGAAUAUUGGACAAUGGAUGGAAAUCUGAUCCAGCCAUGCCGCGUGCAGGAAGACGGCCCUAUGGGUUGUAAACUGCUUUUAUAUGGGAGCAAUAAGGUCUACGCGUAGACCGAUGAGAGUACCAUAUGAAUAAGCAUCGGCUAACUCCGUGCCAGCAGCCGCGGUAAU
rnacentral:rRNA from 1 species